CAAAAUUAGCCAGUACAAGCAGUAAAACCCUAACUAAGACAGAAGUCAUUUUCCUUCUAACCACCAUACUGUAUAUGGAAGUUCAUUGUGUUGAUUUGGGCUUCUCUGGUAAGUGAGAUGAAAAGCCACCUCCAUCUCCUACACUGCUCAGUAUCCACUUUCUCCUCCCCUGUUCCAAAGCAGGGAUAGAGGUCUAUAUUGACCUUCAGCUCAAUAACUGAAGCUUGCUUCACCAAUCUUAGUACAGACAUAGUCUCUGUUUGUCUUUAGGCUUUCUGAAGAUGGGAUCUAUGUGCCCUUGGUCUCUUUUAUGUGUCUUGUAUCUGUCUGACCAAAGUAUGGUAUCCAGGAAAGACUUUGUAAAUACCCGAUGAAUGAAUAGGCCAUUCAGUAGAUGCUCACAUCUCAGAUUCAUCACUAACUUGAUGGUAGAUUUACUCAGCUGGCUCAAUCAAAGUCAGUGCCAACUGGAUGUGCAAAAUCAGCCCAACAGGCUAGUUGGAGUCCGUUUUAAAACAAAACAAAACAAAACAAAACAAAACAAAACAAAACAAAACAAAACAAAACAAAACAAAGAAGUUGCUUGGUUUACUUUUGAACUGGAAGCAGAGUCUUAGUUUCUUAGUUUGGGCCCAAGGUAUUACUAUACCAAUGUGUCCACCCCACUGCUUACUGGUAAUGAUGGAGCUUACCCCUCCUCCUUUUAUUAGUGAUGAAAGGUUUGUUGGAGAUAAUUGUAUUUUUAGCAGCACAGUUAAUGAACUAGCUAAGCAUCGAUAGAUGGAAUCAUAAAACCAUUAAACACCAAGAGCAGUAAUGGGAAACGGUGUCUGGUGGUAAUGAAAUUAAGUGUCUUUAUGAGGUCACUUUAUCCCGUCUCUCCCCGUCUCUCUUGCCCUCCUGAGCACACGGUGGCUGCUGCUCCUAAUUGCUGUUUCACUAAAAUGCACAAUGCGAUCUGUUUUGUCUUUUAAUUCAGUGUAUUUCCCAGGCCUUCAGGAUCAUUAAAUCCUCCACCGAGACGGCAUGCUGGAAGGGAGCCUGGAUGAGGACUCCUGGCAUCAGCCUGGUGGUGAAGAACGUGAGCCUCAUGAGAUGCUGAGCCUGAUGAGAUGAACUGAGUUCCACUCCUGCAUCGGCAGAGCUGGUCUCGUCCCUACACUUCAUGUCUCACGGCACCGAGCCAAAUGAUUUGCCAGUGAAUUAAACCUUGCCCAAUCAAGUUCACAGCUCCUUUAUUGAACUCAACAAUUUGAGAAAUACAUAUUGCAUAGCUCUUA